rnacentral:rRNA from 1 species
GAUGAACGCUGGCGGCGUGCUUAACACAUGCAAGUCGAACGAGAAGUGGAGACGGAAACCUUCGGGCGGAAGACUUUACUUCGAGUGGCGGACGGGUGAGUAACGCGUGGGUAACCUGCCUCAUACAGGGGGAUAACAGUUGGAAACGACUGUUAAUACCGCAUAAGACCACAGCACCGCAUGGUGCGGGGGUAAAAACUCCGGUGGUAUGAGAUGGACCCGCGUUCGAUUAGCCAGUUGGCGGGGUAACGGCCCACCAAAGCGACGAUCGAUAGCCGAUCUGAGAGGAUGACCGGCCACAUUGGGACUGAGACGCGGCCCAAACUCCUACGGGAGGCAGCAGUGGGGAAUAUUGCACAAUGGGGGAAACCCUGAUGCAGCGACGCCGCGUGAGUGAAGAAGUAUUUCGGUAUGUAAAGCUCUAUCAGCAGGGAAGAAAAUGACAGUACCUGAGUAAGAAGCCCCGGCUAACUACGUG